GUCGUCGUAGACAGCCCGACUUCACUCUUCCCUCCGUCGUCUUUCACUAUCGAUCCACCGCUGCAUUAAUUUGUCGGCCGUUUUGCAGGUGCGAUGUAGAAUCAGAAGCAUGCACAGAAUCACCAUCGCCAUGGUCAGAUCCGCUCCUCCAUUUUGACUGCUCUUCAUAAAUUGGGCUCAGCCGGGCAAGUCAGGAUUCCAAACCUCCUGAUCUUGGUGCAGACACACUCACAGAAGCCUCCAGAUCGAAGACGACACCAAGUUCUCAAAUCCAAGAUGAAAAGGUUGUCUAUGGCUAAGUGGAAUUCUGGGCUAGAUAGCUUACAACUGGUAUCAGCACAGCAUGGAGACCAGUGUGAGUAUCAUUCACGCCAGGUAAUUUUGAUAUUUGAGGAUUAACUUGAUUAGUAGGUGUCUAUAUCUUCUUGUUUACACUGAUAAAGAUUAUAAACAGUGAUGAAUUAGGAUGCUUUAGUAUAGUUUAUUUAUGUUUUCAGGUGCAUAUGCUUAUGUUCUAGAG